AUUCUAUUUUUCUGGACUAUGCUGAACUAUUGAACUCAUUUUUUUUUUUUUUUUGUAGAGUUAGCCAGAGAGAGAGGAAGUGUUAGCUGACCCAGGGAUGGAUGUACUAUGUGUAUCUUUGAUGUAUGUUGAGUGUGCCAAGGAUGGAUUCCCAUGUUUUGAGGAACUGCGUGAGGAUAUGACUGGUUUUGACUGGACUUUUGGAAUAGCGAAAAGGUUAAAAGAUAUAGGACGCAAGGUCCUGGUUGUGAUUAUUGUCAGAAUUUCAAGCUAGAUUAUAAUUUAUCUCAUGAAUUAAUAUGUAAGAAGUGUUUCCCAAUUCCUCCCAAUACCCAAGCUAUGUACUCACAGGUGCGGGUAUUAUAAGUCAUAAGUGGUGUCAACUGUGAGGGGAUGACAUGUCUAACACGAUCGCGGCCCCCACUCAGGUUUUCCCUAAAUGUUCUUUUUCCUCAAAUAUGAGUUUUUGCCACUGGGUUUUUGCCUGGCCAUAGAUCAUCGGGUGGACUGGUAAUCCUAGACCCGGGUCAUUGGACGGGGGAUAGGUAUUAUUCCCACUUUGACUAUAUGCGCCCACUUGCGUGGCUGAAGGAGGAAAACAACUAUUGGGAAUAAUAUACUUUGCCCAUAUUUACCUAGGGCUUAUGAUACAGAUGGCAUGUUGGUUAGUCUGUUUAAAAUUGGUUAACAUGUCAGCUAUUUGCAAUAAUUAUUGUUAUGGUUCUGGUCCUUGCUCUACUUGUUUAUGCUAUUUUUAAGACUAUUGUAUUCUGCAUUUACAAACAUACAUGCAACACUGUUCCUGUAAAAUCCCCAGCUUGCUAUGAUGAGUAUCUCCAAAUGUAUACACAUAACCGAAGCAAUGGUGAACAUGCUGAUACAGAUCUAUAAGUUUGUGGUACUGGUCAGAUGACUAGUCCUAUGCUAUGGGAAUAGUGGCCGAAGACAUAAUGAAAGACCUGCAGGAUUGACUAGCAAUCCUGAAUAUACCAUGGCAGAUGGCUGGUUGUCUGACCAAGACUCCUUAAAUGGGGUAUGAGCAAGGUCUUGCUCAAAGAGGGGAAUGAAGGGAAGGGGUUAAUGAUUCUCAUCUAUAAUUUCUGAUAUUAUAUUCUCAUUCUUAAGAUUUACACAAGAGCUAAAAACUAGACAAACC